CCGGGCACGCGAGGAGCGUCUGCAGUGGGAGCUGUGUGUGUCCAGCCCUGUGACACAUUGCAGGGGAAUGGCUGAUACUGCGGCCAUGGGGCAGAGCGGCUGCGGUUCCUGGUUGCAGGCUGGGGUUGGUCCACCAUGAUAGAAAAAAAAAAAAGAAAGAUCCUAAAUGCCUGUGUUACAUUUGGCUGCAGGGUCCCAUCUUGCUACUCUGAGCUGCUGGAAGUAGGCUCUGGGGGUAGAUGUGGGGCUGCAGGAGGCUAUGGGUGUACGUGUGGGGCUGCAGGAGGCUCUGGGGGUAUAUGUGGGGCUGCAGGAGGCUCUGGAGGUAGGUGUGGGGCUGCAGGAAGCUAUGGGGGUAGAUGUGGGGCUGCAGGAAGCUCUGGGGGUAGAUGUGGGGCUGCAGGAGGCUCUGGGGAUAGAUGUGGGGCUGCAGGAGGCUCUGGGGGUAGAUGUGGGGUUGCAGGAGGCUCUGGGGUACGUGUGGGGCUGCAGCAGGCUCUGGGGGUGUAUAUGUGGCUGCAGCAGGUUCUGGGGGUAGAUGUGGGGCUGCAGGAGGCUCUGGGGGUAGAUGUGGGGCUGCAGGAGGCUCUGGGGUUCGAUGUGGGGCUGCAGGAAGCUUUGGGGUUAGAUGUGAGGCUGCAGGAGGCUCUGGAUGUGGGGCUGCAGGCCAUCAGUGUAACUGGAUUUGGGGGGGGGGGG
ensembl:lncRNA